CGAUUACUUAUAUAAGGGCGCACGGAGGAUGCCUUGACACAAAAUGGCGAUGAAGGACGUUGCGUGACUGCGAUAAGCGUCGGGGAGCCGUCGAGCAGGCUUUGAUCCGGCGAUGUCCGAAUGGGAAAACCCCGCGGUGUAAACCACCGUGACCCGCUUAAGUUUUUGGACUAGGCCUUUGGCCUAGAGCUGAAAGCAAGUCCAAAAACUUAGGCGGGGGCGUACCUGGGGAAGUGAAACAUCUCAGUACCCAGAGGAAAAGAAAUAGAAUUAGAUACCGUUAGUAGCGGCGAGCGAAAACGGCGAAGCCUAAACUUUCUAUGACGCAAGUCAUAGAAAGGGUAAUAAGGGCAGAACAAUUGAAAAUUAAAUUUUGGAGGGACAUAUCACCUUCAGGAUUUAAUCUUCAUAAGAAGUUAAAAAUUCGAGCGGUAGCAGAACGGCCUUGGAAUAGCCGGCCACAGCGGGUGACAGCCCCGUACGCGAAACCAAUCGAACUUCUGUUUUGCUGGAGCGCAAGCUCCUUUACUUGAGUAGCCCAGGAUAAGAAUGUCCGGGGUGAAUUUGUCCAUACUACUGGAUAAGGCUAAAUACAUUUUGUGAUCGAUAGUGAACCAGUACCGUGAGGGAAAGGCGAAAAGAACCCCGGCGAGGGGAGUGAAAUAGAAACUGAAACCGUGUGCUUACAAAGAGCGAACGCCGUGGCUCACUAUUGUUCGCCACAGUAUUAAGUAUUCAGUAUCUUGUAUCUAGUAUGAAUCCAAAUACUAAAUACAAAAUACCAGAUACUAGAUACUAGUGAUGAGCGGUAGCGAGUCACGGUUAUCGUGUGCCUAUUGAAGAAUGACCCGACGAGUUUACUUAAACGGCCCCGAAUAAGUCUCUUUGAGACGCAUUCAUAGGGAAACCGAGUGUUAAAAGCGCGUCAAUCAACUAACAACUUACGACCUACAGCCUACGACGGAAACGUUGUCAGUUGUUUGUUGUGGGUUGUUGGUCUGAUUAUGUCGUUUAGGUAAGACCCGAAGCCAGGCGAGCUAACCAUGACCAGGGUGAAGUUUGGAGAAAUCCAAAUGGAGGCCCGAACCAGUUGAUCGCUCAAUAUCAUUGGAUGAGUUGUGGUUGGAAGUGAAAAGCUUAUCGAGCUUGGUAAUAGCUGGUUCUCCCCGAAAUGCCUUUAGGGGCAGCGGGAUACAGUAGCAAGAGGGGUAGAGCACUGAUUGGUUUGCCGUGCCCGCAAGGGUAGGUUUACCAAACAAACUCCGAAUACUCUUGUGAAAUGUAUUCCAGUGAGUAUGCGAGGGCGAAGCUUCGUGUACGCAAGGGAAACAGCCCAGAUCACAAAUUAAGGUCCCAAAAUCUAUGCUAAGUGAAAAGGAAGUUCGUUGCCUUAGACAGGUAGGAGGUUGGCUUAGAAGCAGCCAUCCUUUAAAGAGUGCGUAAUAGCUCACUACUCGAUUCCGCCGUAAGGCGGAGAGGCAGCGUGCGCCGAAGAUGUAUAGGGGCUAAGCAUAGUACCGAAAUUGUGGGUUUGAUGAUUUCGAAAAGGAUAAGUGGUGCCGUAGCUCACAGUCAGGGCACUGGGUCCCGGGCCCAGAGGUCGACGGUUAAAAUCCGUCCGGCGUCACUAACCUGUCGGAUUAAAAUCAGGCGAGACCUGAUAAUCCGAUCUUUUUCGAAAUCAUCAAGCGGUAGGGGAGCAUCUCCAUCUGCUGUGAAGGUACACUGUGAAGUGUGCUGGAGCGUUGGGGAGGGAGAAUGUUGGGAUGAGUAACCGCAUGUGAUGUGAAAACCAUCAGUUGGGAUGAGUAACCGCAUGUGAUGUGAAAACCAUCACCGCCGUAAGUCCAAGGUUUCCUCCGCGAUGGCAAUCAUCGGAGGGUUAGGCGUGCCUAAGCGUAACCAUACUUUAGGGUGUGGGAUCGCGAUGGACAGCCAGUUAAUAUUCUGGCCCUUGGUUUCUGUUCGAAGGAGUGACGGAGGGUAGUAAGCUGACCGUAUAAUCGGAUUUAACGGGUAUAACGUAAGGAUCGGACGCAGGAAAAUCCGCGUCCGGCCGCAAGGCAAAUCCAAGCGUUGUACAAAUUGCGCAAGGCGAACGGGUGAUUAUUGGCUAAGGAACUCGGCAAAAAAGCGGCCGUACCUUCGGUAUAAGGCCUGCCCAUCGCAAGAUGGGCCGCAGCGAAAGAACCCCUGGCGACUGUUUAUCUAAAACACAACUCCGUGCUAAGGCGCAAGCCGAUGUAUACGGGGUGACGCUUGUCCGGUGCCGGAACGUUAACGGUUGAAGUGGUGUGCCGCAAGGUGCAUUGCGGAAGCCCGAAGCGCCGGUGAACGACGGCAGUAACUAUAACUGUCUAAAAGUUCUGCACAUCUAGCUAUAGGUGUUCAGAAGAGCUUAGACGGUUACAGAUAAGAUAAAUAGAGGUAGCUGCUUAUCGAGCUAAGCUCGAUGCUCUCAAAAUAUAUUCGACCAUAUGCUGGAAAGUCUGUGGAUAAAAUCCUAAGUAUUGAGUGCUACUUAUGGUAAAAUGAUACCAUGAGUAAAAAUGUAUCUCAUGCAGAUAAUCAGCAGGAAAGAUUAAGACUGGAAGGUUGGAUCAGCGGAUUUGUAGAUGGCGAGGGAUGCUUUACCAUAAGCAUCAUUCGCAAUCCAUAUGGCUGGCAAGUAUUUCCAGAGUUUGUGGUAAGUCAAGGCGAAAAGAGUCGUGCCGCUCUAAAGAAAAUAGAAAACUUCUUUGGAUGCGGUUACAUUAAUCUUAAUACACGCAGAGACAAUCAUCACGAACAAAUGUUGAAAUACUGUGUCAGAUCAAUCCAAGAUCUAAACGACGCUAUCAUCCCAUUCUUUGAAGUAAAUAAACUGAAAACUUACAAGCAAAAGGAUUUUCAGGUGUUUCGCAAAGUUAUCAGACUGAUGACCCAAAAGAAACAUCGAACAGAGAAGGGGCUAGACAAGAUACGUUCUCUGCUUCAAACAAUGAAUCGGAGAAAAUGCAAAGUCUUAAAAUCCUCAGAGACUAUACGUCGAACUGAUAUAUUAUCAGAAAAUAUAGUCCGGUCUUCACGGCGACGUGAAGGGUAGAAAUACCGCAACAGAUUUGUUGUAACAUAUCAAGCGAAAUACCUUGUGGCACGCGCAUGAAUAGCGGAACGACUGGGGGACUGUCUCAGCCAAUAGCCCGGUGAAAAUGCAAUGUCAGUAAAGAUGCUGACUACCCGCACCUAGACGGGAAGACCCCGGAAGCUUCACUGCAGCUUGGUAUUGGUCUACGAGUUGUUAUGCGUAGCGUAGUGAGUAGGAUUUGAAGUCCCGAUUUCGGUCGGGAUGGAUCCGCCAAUGAAACACUCAUCUUAACGAUUUGUAGCUCUAACCGGCCCCUCCCUUUCAGUAAAUGAAAUAGAGGAAUGUAUAAGCUUUCGAGUAAUAUCGGGAGUUUUAUCAUACUUUCAAUCAUAGAUUGAAAGGGAGGGAUCGAGACAGUGCCUGGUGGGCAGUUUAAGUGGGGCACUUGCCUUUAUCAAAUCAAAAUUCAAAAAGUUGGUUUGGUAAAGCCCAGGUGCUCCAGAGAAUUUAAAUUUCUCGAAACAAAAAUUAGGGGGUGUUGUAGAAAUACAACAGGAAUCAGCUAUAUCGGGGAAUAUCUUUUAAAAGAGACAAUCCCGAGGGAAGUCGUAAUUGACCCCGUAGAGACUGUACGCUGAAUCAGUAAUUUUCUUUGGAAAACUAGAAAGUUCCUGAAUAAUAUAGUCCGAACUGUAUGGUGACAUGCAGAGCAUGACAGAAAUGUUUAUGCCAAUAACGAAAGUUAUUUGUAACACAAUUGCCUAAAGAGUAAUGGAGGCGUUCAUCAAGGUUGGCUAGUUCCGGAUGGACAUCGGAACGAUAGCGUAAAGGCAAAAGCCAGCUUAACUGCAAGACGGAUAUGUCGCGCAGAUGCGAAAGCAGGACUUAGUGAACCGACGCUACCUCGUAGGAGGGGCGAAGAUCAACAGAUAAAAGCUACUCCGGGGAUAACAGGCUAGUACUGCCCGAGCGUUCACAGCGACGGCAGUGUUCGGCACCUCGAUGUCGGCUCGGCUUAUCCUGGGACUGAAGAAGGCCCCAAGGGUUUGGCUGUUCGCCAAUUAAAAAGCUACGCGAGCUGGGUAAGUAAAAAUGAGCCCAACUGUUCUGGGCAUCGAAGGCUCAAUUUUGAGCUGUUAAAAAGAACGAAAAACUGACUCAUAUCGGAGGAGCCCUAAUGUUUUUAAACAUGGGCAAUUCCGAGGGAAGUCGCCAAGAUGGAUUUGGUUGACCCCGUAACGACUUGAUUCUCCAAAGAUUGAAGAAUCAGGUAAUGGCUCUUUAGUCAUUACAAAACGUCAGUCCGAUUUGGAAAAAUCGGAAAGGUAUAGUCUAUACUGUUCGGAAGAACAGAUUUAAUAUUACGAAAGUAAUAAUAUGUCAAACCGUCGUGAGACAGGUUGGUCCAUAUCUGGUGCGGGCGUUGAAGUUUGAGGAGGGUUGUCCCUAGUAAAGUAAUUGCUACUUCACGAAGUAAUUCGUGAUGACAACUCGGCUAAUAACGGUGGAAUCUUAGAUAUUUGGGUUCGUUGAUAACUCUGAUUGAUUAGGUCCAAAAAUCGGAGUACAAUUUACUUGAGGACCAGGAAAUAAUCUAAGACAAUAUCGUGGGAAGUCGAUCAAAUAAUGAUUUAGCGUAUAUAGCAGGAUUUCUUGAUGGUGACGGAAGCUUAAUGCUUCAAAUUAAAAAACGUCACGAUGGGAAAAGGAAAUGGCGUUUCAUGGCCACGAUCUGUUUUUAUCAAGACAGUCGACAUGAGUCUCCAUUAUCCUGGAUACGUUCAGUGCUUGGAAUUGGUUAUGUGUCGAAGCGCAAUGACGGAAUGUCGGAACUGCGAAUCAAUGGAUUCAAGCAGGUUCAAGAUAUUCUGAAAAAGCUGAUGCCAUUCAUCAAGUUUAAAGAUGAGCAGGCAAAAGCCUUAUAUUACGCAACAGAGAUACUGACCAAAGCUCAAGAUUUAAAAUCGCUUAAGAAAUUAAUUGAUUGUGUCUUGAAGAUCCAAGAGCAUAAUUACGCUGCAAAACGUAAGAAGACAAAACAGGAGUUGUAUUCAUUGUUAGAUUUGACCCCGUAACGACUUGUUCCCGAGCUUAGAAAUGAGUGGAGGACGGAUGGAGAGCUUCAAGCGACCGAAGGGUCGCGCAGUACCCAGCGCCAGUAGGCGGCGGGUAUUAGUUCAGUCUCCAUAAGAUGCCGAUCCCCGAUCCUUUUAAAGGGGGGGAAAGAUAUAGUCUGCACCCAUGGUGACAUGGGAAAUCGAUUCUGUAUUCGUAUCAUUCGCAUACAUUCGUGUAUUUGCAUUGUGGUGCGAGCAGAGCGAGUAUGUGACGAGAGGACCGGGAUGAACGAACCUCUGGUCUACCAGCUGUUCUGCCAAGAGCAGCGCUGGGUAGCUAUGUUCGGUUCUGAUAAGCGCUGAAAGCAUAUAAGCGCGAAGCAGGCUCCAAGAUUAGACUUCUUGCGGCGUAAGCCGCGUAGACUCCUUGUAGAUUACGAGGUUGAUAGGGCUCAGAUGUACGCACGGUGACGUGCUUAGUCGAGAGCUACUAAUAUGUCGAAAUAGUAAUCGCU
rfam:Parcubacteria (Yanofskybacteria) bacterium GW2011_GWA1_48_10 TY20_C0003, whole genome shotgun sequence.